CCUACGGGGGGCAGCAGUGAGGAAUAUUGGUCAAUGGGCGUAAGCCUGAACCAGCCAAGUCGCGUGAGGGAUGAAGGUUCUAUGGAUCGUAAACCUCUUUUAUAAGGGAAUAAAGUGUGGGACGUGUCCCGUUUUGUAUGUACCUUAUGAAUAAGGAUCGGCUAACUCCGUGCCAGCAGCCGCGGUAAUACGGAGGAUCCGAGCGUUAUCCGGAUUUAUUGGGUUUAAAGGGUGCGUAGGCGGCCUUUUAAGUCAGCGGUGAAAGUCUGUGGCUCAACCAUAGAAUUGCCGUUGAAACUGGGGGGCUUGAGUAUGUUUGAGGCAGGCGGAAUGCGUGGUGUAGCGGUGAAAUGCAUAGAUAUCACGCAGAACCCCGAUUGCGAAGGCAGCUUACCAGACUGUAACUGACGCUGAUGCACGAGAG
rnacentral:rRNA from 1 species